rnacentral:rRNA from 1 species
UACGUAGGGCGCAAGCGUUAUCCGGAAUUAUUGGGCGUAAAGAGCUCGUAGGCGGUUUGUCGCGUCUGCUGUGAAAACUCGGGGCUCAACUCCGAGCUUGCAGUGGGUACGGGCAGACUAGAGUGCGGUAGGGGAGACUGGAAUUCCUGGUGUAGCGGUGAAAUGCGCAGAUAUCAGGAAGAACACCCGUGGCGAAGGCGGCUCUCUGGGACGGUACUGACGCUGAGACGCGAAAGCGUGGGGAGCGAACAGG